GACGAACGCUGGCGGCGUGCCUAAUGCAUGCAAGUCGAGCGGGCUACGAUCUUCGGAUUGUAGCUUAGCGGCGAACGGGUGAGUAACACGUAGGUGAUCUACCCUUCAGAGGAGGACAACCUCAGGAAACUGAGGCUAAACCUUCAUACGUUCACUGGUAGGGAUACUGGUGAAGAAAGAGUUACCUUAGUGGUAGCUGCUGAAGGAUGAGCCUGCGGCCCAUCAGGUAGUUGGUGAGGUAACGGCUCACCAAGCCGAAGACGGGUAACCGGUCUGAGAGGAUGUCCGGUCACACUGGGACUGAGACACGGCCCAGACUCCUACGGGAGGCAGCAGCAGGGAAUCUUGGGCAAUGGGCGAAAGCCUGACCCCAGCGACGCCGCGUGGAGGAAGAAGUCCUUCGGGGCGUAAACUCCUGGACGUGGGGGACGGAGGAAGGACGGUACCCCGAGUAGAAAGGGACGGGCUAACUACGUGCCAGCAGCCGACGGUAAAAGUACUCUAU
rnacentral:rRNA from 1 species